rnacentral:lncRNA from 1 species
GUCCAUCUGGGAGACCUCAAGGGAUAUUGAACAUUGGUGUUGCAUUACUAGAUAGUACCAUGAGAAGUAUGCCAUUGUACACUGAAUUAAACAAGUCAGCGGUUGGAUAUCGCGAUUUAAUGGAAGAAGAUCAUCUCCCUUACCUCCAAAACCAAAAAACAAACGAUGAAAAAACCAUCACGACCACCACCACCAACAAAAAUAUCAGCAGUACCAAUAACAUCGUGACUACUAAAAUAAAACCUAUAUUGCUACGUACAAAGAGCGAACGUAGCGAACGUGUCAAGUUCGAUGAUGAUGUACCAAAGGCAAAUAUUUCAAAAGUUACAAGAUUAACUUCAAAAAGGAAUAAGAAGGCACAUAAUUAUGACAAUGAAAGUUCAAUUCUUAGUAUUUCUUUGGAACCUCCACCACAAAUGUUGGUGAAAAAGAAAGGUAAAGCAAGUUCUGUUGUUAGUGGUGAUGAAUUAAAAGAUAAAUCAAACCCCAAGGGUAAAAAAGGAAAAUCAGGCUCAGUUCUUAGUGAUUCAGUUUUGAGCAAAGAUUCAUCAUCUAUUUAUAAUAAUGGGCCCAAAGAAGAUGAUAAGCCCAAACUCAAACUUAUUGCUUUAAAGCCCACAAAUGAAAAGAAGCCCACAACUAAAGUAGUUGAUGAAAAAUCUCUCACAAAGCCCAAAGUUGGUGAUAGACAAGUUGAUGAGCCCAAAGAGCCCAUAACAGUUAUGGGAAAGCCCAUUACAAACUAUAGUGGAUAUGAGUUUGGAGGCCCAACACCAAAAGGGCAAGGCCAAAAUGGGAAGUUUGUAUUUGGAGGCCCAAUUAAGGGAAAUCCUCAUCAUUGGACUGAUUCCGAAAUUGGGCCUUCGGCAUCUGAGGUCGCGGCGGCUGUCGCUGAAAAGAAAUAUUCAUUGGAUGAUCAAAAAAGCUCGGUAUUGGAUGGUUGGAGUUUGGACGAGAGCGUUGAGGGGCUCAAGUCCAAACUCGAGAGGUGGCGGACAGAGCUGCCACCAGUUUACGACCAUGGGCACGCCUCGAGCAGCUACCACUCGACCGGUCGCCACUCGAGGAGGCUCCCACGUGGGUCGAGUGGAUUGUUUUCUUGUUUUGGUAACAUUUUGGGUUUUGAAUGCCAAUGUGUUUGUGGUAAGCCUCAAAAGAAAUAUAGCACAAGGUUCUAUAGCCCAUCAGUUGGAAGCAAAUCAUUGUAUUGAAAAGCCCAAGCCCAAGCCCAGGUCAUAUUUUUUGAAGGCCCAAGUGGAAUAAGAAUGAAGGCCCAAAGCCCAGGUCAUUAUCAUGUCACUUCUUGCAAUUUAUAUUCGUAAUCAGUGACAUAUUCAGAAUUUUUUAAUCAAUGCAGGUCGAUACUAUCGUACCAUUACUCUUUUGUGACAAACUUCGAAUGUAACAUAAAUAUAUUUGUUCUAUACAUCUCUGUUACUGCCUUUUAUCAUUUUGUUAUUGGUAAAUAUUUGGUUUGAUUUUUGAAUUAGCAUUUUCUUUACAUUAAGUUUCAUGUGGUUUAAUUAUUGUAGCAUGAUUUAUGUUUAGCAUGUUCAUAUAAAGUUCAAUGAUUUUUGGAUUUAGCUGAUUAAGUUAGAGUCAAAAUCUUUUAAUCUUGAUCGUGAAAUGGAUAUGAAAUCUUUAAGUUUUUUGAAAUAAAAAUUUAUAUAUUUAAAAAUUAUAUAAAAAGUAUAAUAAGUCAUAAAUAAUUUAUAUUUUAAAAUAUUUAAAAAGCAUAUGAAAAAGAUCGUGGUAAGAAAAAAUUCGGUUGACUCUCAAAAUUCAAAAGGUAUUUGUUGAAGAAGUCACGAGGUCUAUUAUGGGAUGAUCGCUUUAUAUAUGAUUGAACAAUCAACUCUUAAGCUGGCUUUUGAGAUUAAAUUACACUCAAGAUCAACUUCUUUACAUAAUCAAAAUAGGGUAUAUCUCAAUUUUCGUUCAUGAUGGUAGGCCUCCAUAGUAAAAUUGUUUCACUUCAAAUGUCCGGUCCUGGACAUGAAGGGGGGCAGCAAAGGUGUUGAAGAAGUCCCACAUCAAUUUAUUGUAAAAUGAAAGAUCUAUAUGACUUGUACGAUUAUCACUUCUUGAGCUAACUUUUGAAAUGUGUUAAGACUCAAACUCUAGUUCUUACAUAAUAUUAGGGCAUUCCAAUCUUCAUUCACAAUGUCAGGCUUGCAUAUUAAAAUUGUUUACGCUUUAAAUGUUCAAUUUUGAACGUGAUUGUAAACAUCAAAAUUUUGUACACUCUAAAAAAGAAUCAAAUUUCUGUUAGAGUUCUUGAAGGAUAUUUGACCCUAAGCCUAGCUUAGAGAAGCUACUCUAGGUGAAUCUUAAAUUAUGCUUAUAAAAGGGUGGCUUAAUCCAGUGAAGUAAUAUCUCAGAAAUUUCACAAACUCAUGGAAUAUCAAAUAAAGAUUAAAAUCUUCUCUUUUUUAUAAUCAAAUACAUCAAGAAGAUCCACAAAGUUCAAGUACUUUUUUCACGGAUAAAAUGCAUACCAAAUCCAAAUCGUCUUAAGUUAUCCAAAUCUUCCAACUUCGAGAAAUAUGCUACUAUUAUCCCUCGAAUUAUCGAGAAAUCAAGCGCUCCUUUCAUGGAGAUCAAAUUCAAAUCUUACUAUACAUUUGAGAAAUAUGCAAAUAACGCCCCUCGAAUUACGAAAAAAGUUAAGAGAGAAGAAUCAAGAAAACAAACAAACUUACCUACAUUGUUUAUUAAUUAAAAUGUUCUCGUUUUCUUCAUAUUUUUAUUUGUGGUUAAAGUUUAUUUUUCAUAAAUUAAAAAUUUAUAGUAAACAGAUUGACACGCCCAGUGGGAUCAAAUUUGUCCUUCAUCCCUUCACUCAUAAAUCAGAUCAGCAUAUCUAUAGCUGCAUGCUCGUAAAUAUGGAGGCUCUAUGGGUACGUUAAGACUCGUCUUUAAAUUUCAUCAAGUCUACAUUCCGACAAGCUUUGAAGUGGGGGCAUUAGUAGACAUCAAAAUUUUGUAAACUCAAAAAAAAGAAUUUAAUAUCUUUAGAAUUUUUGGAUGCUAUUUUAUCCUAAGCCUAGCUUGGGGGCUACUCUACAUGAACCGUAAAUUAUGCCUAUAUAAACGAUACUUACUUCAAAGAAGAAAUAUCUCAGAAAUUUCACAAACUCAUGAAAUAUCAACUGGAGAUCAAAAUUCACUCUUCUUGAUAAUCAAAUCUAUCAAGAAGAUCCAUAAAAUUCAAAUACUCAUUGCACGGAGAAAAUACAUACCAAAUCCAAAUCGUUCUAAGUUAUCCACAUCUUCUUACUUCAAGAAAUAUGCUAUUAACAAUCAUCGAAUUACGGAUAAAUCAAACCCUCCUUCCAUAGAGAUCAAAUUCAAAUCUUCCUAUACGUACGAGAAAUACACAACUAAUUACCCUUGAAUUACGAAAAGAAUCAACAAAACAAAUAAAAUCAUACCCACAUGAUUUAUUAGAGUUGUCAAUAUGGGUCGGCCCAAUCCAUCCAAACUAGUCCACACGGGCUUUGGAGUUUGACGGACCAGGUUGGGCUGAGCCAUGAACAUGACAGGCCAGAAAAUAGUAAGUCCAGCCCAUCACACUGUGGGUUGUAGUCCUCCACGGGCCAACCCACUUUUUAAAAUAUAUUAUUUUUAUAAUCUUAAUUUAAAUUUUAAUAUUACAUCAAGUUACUACUUGUUAAUCAAGUCUCAAAUUUACAAGAAAAAAAUUAAUAAUCUGUGAAAUUAAAUAACUUUUGACACCAAAUUCAAAACAAAUAGAGAUGUUGAAAAACAAACGAAACUGUUAAUGAGUAAUAAUAUAACUAGCUAAAUAACAAUAUUAGCCUAAUUUUAUUUUAAUUGAUCACAAUAAAACAUAAAGAAAUGUCAAUAUUUAGUCCAUAAUGAACUCCUAAAAAAAACUCACAAGACACCUAUAGCGUGUUCAACAUCGCCACAUCAUCUUCAUCAAACAUAUUUAAUUCCUUAAAAAUUUUGUAUUUUAUAUUUUAAUUAUUUAUAUAUUUUAUAAAUAUAUUUUAUAUUUAAAGAUCUCUAAUGAUUCAAAUAGACUUUGAGUAUGGACUCUUUCCUUUUUCUUUUAAGCUCUUAGUACUCUAUUCUAUUUUUUUAAUUAUUUUUUAUUGUAUAAAUAACAUAAAUAUCAACUUUUUAGAAGAAAUUACACUCUCUACUACUUUUUAAAUUAUUUUACUCUCUCUCCCGAUUAAUAUACAUCAGAAAGCCGACAUAUACAUAGCAGUCUGUGUAUACGUGAAUUUUUUACUAUCGUUAAAAAAGGAAAUAACUGAGUCCCCUCCUUUAAGGACGUAAUUAAUGGAACCAAUUUAUUUAGUGGAUUACUCCAUCCCUUUAAUUAUGCAACAACUAUUGAAAUUUAAAUUUGAAUUCUACAAAUACAUUAAAAACAAAUCAGAUGAAAAAACACAAAACAAAAAUAAAUCAAGCACCUAUUUGUCGAUCGUUUUGAAGAAAAAAAAUUAAUUGGAAUUCAAGAAGAUGAAUAGUGCUAUUUAUUUGAGGUACUCUGAUCAAUAAAGAAUCGGAAAUAGAAAGAGGUAUUUUUUUUUUGCUAUUCUUUUAGGUAUUGUUGUCACAGGAUCGAUGAUUUUUUUAGGUUUAUUUCAUCAAUUUUUUCAGAUAAAAAAAUAUUAUUUUUAAUGGAAAAGAUUUUUUCAGGCAAAAAAAGGUAUUAUUUUCAAUUUUGUUACGAAAAUUAUUACUUAAAUUAGCGUGAAAGAGUUUUGUUAACAAUACAUAUAUAAAUUUAAUAAGAGGUGCAUGUGUGAGGGAGAAAAUUCAAGUAAAUGUAUCUUUUAAGUCUUGAACGAAGGAUUGAGGACAUUGACCAACUUAAAAGGCCAAACAUCAUUAGGAAACCUGACUAAGUUAAUUGUGGACUUGAUUAAUAUUUUCAAAACUUUCUAAUCUUUUCAAAAAUACAAAUCAAACCAACCCUCACCCCUUUUCAAUCUAAAUCAACCACUCUCCCUCCUCUCUCUCUCUCUCCAACUUCUCUUAACUCUCUCCCAAACCAACAGUUCUACAAAAUUCUUCCUUCAAUCUCCGGCGACUUCAACCUCCGGCGAUAAAUAGUCGAGCGAGUUUUCUUUUGACUUUACCGUCAAUCAACGUGAAGACUUCUCUGACGGCAACAAAUUUGAGUUCUUCAUUGUCACAUUUCCUUUUUUAUAGGUAGAAAAUUAUGAAGAAACAGAGGAAUUUGAGCGAACUACUCUUUUAGUAUUGAAAUGUGGAUUGAAUAAAAUAAUAAUUUGUUGUCGAACUGUUGAUUCGGAUUUGUUGGUGAUUUUUUGUCACAGUUGAUGUUCUUAGUGUGUGUGUGUGAUGUGUUGGUGUUGCUGGGUUAAUUUAUUAUUAGUAUUGAUAAAAAUAGUGUUGUAAUAGAUGAAACAUCUGAUGCAAUAGAUGAAAUAUUUGAUGCAACAGAUGGAAACAUCUAAUGCAAUAGAUGAAAAUCUGAUGCAACUAUAAAAAUUUGAUGCAACAGAUGAAUAAUAUAACAGAUCAUUCAUUUGUUAUGACAGACGACUCUUCUGUUUGGAAGAAAUCUAAACAAUAUUUCUUCAAUAGAUAGCUCAUUUUGCAACAGAUGAGUGAUAUAUUUCAACAUAUUAGUGAGCUAUUUUAUUAUUUCCAAUGAAUUACUCAUCUGUUGCAAUAGGUUGGUUAUAUGUUGCAACAGAUAACCUUCCUGGUGCAAUAUAUGAGUGAUCUAUUUUACUGUUUCCAACUGAUUACGCAUCCGUUGCAACAGGUUGGUUAUAUGCUUCAACAGAUAACCUUCCUAGGGCAACAAAUGAGUGAUCAGUUUUAUUAUUUCUAAUGAAAUGCUCAUCCAUUGCAACAGGUUAGUUAUAUAUUGCAACAAAUAAAAUUUUUGGUGCAACAGAUGAGUGAUCUAUUUUAUUAUUUCUAACGGAUUACUCAUCUGUUUCAACAGGUUGGUUAUAUGUUGCAACAGAUAACCUUCCUGAUGCUAUAGAUAAGUAAUCUAUUUUAUUAUUUCCAACAGAUUACUCAUCCGUUGCAAUAGGUUGGUUAUAUGUUGCAACAGCUAACCUUCCUGGUAUAAUAGAUGAGUGAUCUGUUUUUAUUAUUUCCAAUGAAUUACUCAUCUACUGCAACAGGUUGGUUAUAUGUUGCAACAAAUAGCCUUCUUGAUGCAAUAAAAAAGUGAUCUAUUUUUAUUAUUUCCAACGGAUUACUCNNNNNNNNNNNNNNNNNNNNNNNNNNNNNNNNNNNNNNNNNNNNNNNNNNNNNNNNNNNNNNNNNNNNNNNNNNNNNNNNNNNNNNNNNNNNNNNNNNNNNNNNNNNNNNNNNNNNNNNNNNNNNNNNNNNNNNNNNNNNNNNNNNNNNNNNNNNNNNNNNNNNNNNNNNNNNNNNNNNNNNNNNNNNNNNNNNNNNNNNNNNNNNNNNNNNNNNNNNNNNNNNNNNNNNNNNNNNNNNNNNNNNNNNNNNNNNNNNNNNNNNNNNNNNAAAAAAAAAAAAAUGUAUUUGUUUCUCUUUUUCCAAAAUGUGGUCGAUGUCAACAAACUUUUUUCUUUUUGUUUCGAUAUAUUAGGUUUUAUAUAAUUGUUCAUAAGUUUUAUAUAUAAUCAUGUUUACUUUCAUGUACCAAUAGAUAACUUCACCAUCCUCCUAGACAAAUGAAAGAUUUUCACAAAUUUGCUUAGAAUAUGUUGUCUGGUUGAGUUUUCAAAGAUUUCAUUGAUUAAUUGGUGAAUAUUGUGAUGGAUUUAAUUAAUCAUAACCUAAUUAAAUGAUAUUCGAAAUAUUUUCUUUCAUUGAAAUUUAUGUAUUUAUACAUUUAAAACUUUGGUGUAUUUUUGGAUAUUAGGUACGUCGUCCAUCUGGGAGACCUCAAGGGAUAUUGAACAUUGGUGUUGCAUUACUAGAUAGUACCAUGAGAAGUAUGCCAUUGUACACUGAAUUAAACAAGUCAGCGGUUGGAUAUCGCGAUUUAAUGGAAGAAGAUCAUCUCCCUUACCUCCAAAACCAAAAAACAAACGAUGAAAAAACCAUCACGACCACCACCACCAACAAAAAUAUCAGCAGUACCAAUAACAUCGUGACUACUAAAAUAAAACCUAUAUUGCUACGUACAAAGAGCGAACGUAGCGAACGUGUCAAGUUCGAUGAUGAUGUACCAAAGGCAAAUAUUUCAAAAGUUACAAGAUUAACUUCAAAAAGGAAUAAGAAGGCACAUAAUUAUGACAAUGAAAGUUCAAUUCUUA